rnacentral:tRNA from 1 species
GCGAAUGUAGCUCAGUUGGAAGAGCACCUGAUUGUGGCUCAGGGGGUCGCAGGUUCAAACCCUGUCAUUCGCCCCA